UUAAAUUGAAGAGUUUGAUCAUGGCUCAGAUUGAACGCUGGCGGCAGGCCUAACACAUGCAAGUCGAACGGUAACAGAAAGCAGCUUGCUGCUUUGCUGACGAGUGGCGGACGGGUGAGUAAUGUCUGGGAAACUGCCUGAUGGAGGGGGAUAACUACUGGAAACGGUAGCUAA
rnacentral:rRNA from 1 species